GACCUAAACUCAACCAUCUGGCUGGGCAUGGUUAAUAAACCCCGCGAAGGGUAAAAAGCUCCUUAUCAGGAGUUCCUUCGCGGGUCACGCCUGGAAACGGGUGUGCGACUGAAAAGUCG
rnacentral:sRNA from 1 species